UACGAAGGGGGCUAGCGUUGCUCGGAAUUACUGGGCGUAAAGGGCGCGUAGGCGGACAGUUUAGUCAGAGGUGAAAGCCUAGGGCUCAACCUUGGAAUUGCCUUUGAUACUGGCUGUCUUGAGUUCGGGAGAGGUGAGUGGAAUGCCGAGUGUAGAGGUGAAAUUCGUAGAUAUUCGGCGGAACACCAGUGGCGAAGGCGGCUCACUGGCCCGAUACUGACGCUGAGGCGCGAAAGCGUGGGGAGCAAACAGG
rnacentral:rRNA from 1 species